CAUCUUUAUUUUACUGAUGCCGAAACAGACUAAGCAACUCUCAUAAACUUGGUGUGCGGGGAGCUGAGACUUGAACCCAGGUCUUUGAUAUCAAAUCUCUCAUCCUUUUCACCCUGUAAGAACAUAUUGCCAGGACAUUCUAAUGCAGAGAAAGAAAGAAAGGUAAUAUAAGAAGAAGAGGAAGUUGGGAGGGGCCUUUUAUAUUUCUUUAGUAUAUGAACACUGUGCCACAUUCUAGAACAGACCUGUCCGAUGGAACUUUCUGUGAGGACGGAAUGUUCUUUACUUGAGCUGUCCAAUGUGGCAACUACAAGCCACAGCCAUGUGUGUACAAGGAUACUUGAAAUGUGAUAGUGUGACUCAGGAAUUGACUUCAUAAUUUUAUUUCAUCUUAAUUAAUUUAAGUGUGAAUUUUAAAAGCCACAUGUAGCGAGUGGCUACCAUGUUGGACAGUACAGCUCUAGAACGCAGAACCCUGCUAGAUGCAUCUCGAAAUAUCACCGAGGCCAGUAACCAGCGGGCCCGGUUUGCCUCAGCUCUCGGCGUGAAGGUCUCGCAGAUGUCAGCUGCCUGGACAUCCACAUGAAGCAGGCUGCCCCUCGGGAAAGAGAACACAUGGGUUCAGAGAGCUGAGAGACCAAGGCCCGGAGAGGUGACCAGUACUGUCCUUGGCCUCUUUGCCCAGGACACUGACCCACUGAGCCCACAGAUGGGGCAGGAACACGUGUGCAAGCGAGAAGAACAAGAGCCAUCUGGCCGAGGUUAGGCACUCCUUCUGCCUCAUCGUGUCCAUACAGUAAUUUCCUAAAAUUGAAGAUGAGUAAGGGGUAUGUUUGGCAAAGAGAACAAAGUUUUCAAUCUUUUAACUGCCAACACACACAUUUAGGUCACUUAUUGGUAAAAAAAAUUUCCAUCCUGUUCUUAAAGAUUAUCUGUAAUAUAAUUCUAUUUUUAUAAAUCCCCCUUUGCACAGAGAUUAGGCCUAGCUUUUAUAAACAAAAAUUCUUGGAGCAUAUUUAUUGAUUGAAUGGCACUCCAUAUACAUUUUUGAGGAGAGUAACUACUAAUAAUUUUAAUCCUUUUCCAAGCAGAAAAUCCUUCUUCACAUCUAACUUCACUGUUUUCUUCCCUCUAACUCAGCAUGCUAUGCUGAGUUCGUAGCCAAGCCAGAUGGACAAGUCAUGAGCAGGCUACAUUUUUCUAAGAAUAUAUAAACUAUAUCUGGCAGACUCUGUUCGAGGUCCAAAGUUCUUGGUUUUAGGUAUGGCCAUGCAGAUCACACCAGACUUGAAGUGAGAGCUGUUCACCUGAUUUGAAACACUGCAGAUAACAAACUGUUGGGCGCCACUGAAAUGUAUCAGGGAAUUUAGUUGCAAUAAAAACAGUCAAAAUGAAUCAUCUUCAAGUUCCAACAACCAGGAAACAGACAUGUCAGUAAGGUGGGUAGUCAAGGCCCCCAUGGGUAUUAACAUCCCACUUUUAAUGACACCGUAAGAGCACGUGGCCCCAUUUCUCUCUAUAAUUAGAGCUAAUAAAUAUCUUCAAGUGGAUAUUUAUGGCAGACUUUGGAAAUAUUAACCUAUUAUUACUAGAGUUAUGAUGUUCUGAAUUUCAGUGUGAAAAAUGCAGCCAAAGCCUUGCUCGUCUCAAAAGGCAAAUGUAGCAAAAAUUAAUCCUAUGGGACUGUUGUCUGAUGUCUGGCCAGCAAGAUGAGAGCAGCUGAUUUGUUUUAAUGUUUCAACUGCUUCCAUUUUAUCGCUUGGAAAUUUUUCAAUUAUUCAAACACUGCCACAGAAGAAAGAAAAUGGGAUUCGGAGUCAAAAGAAUUGGAUUGAAAUACCAAGCCUGACGCUUAAUGACUGUGGUAGAUGAAAUUACUUUUCAAAAAGAUUCACUCCUUCCCUCUCCACCACCUCCAAGGGAGAAUUUAUUUCCCUGCCCCCUUGACCUUGGGCUUGGCCACAUGACUUGUUUUGGCCAACGGAACAUUGGCAGACAUGAUGCAAGCAAAGACUUGAAAUGUGCAUUGUGUGGUAGGAGCUGGCUCUUGCAUCUCUGUCCAGGCUAGUCACCUAGUCUGAGGAAGAGGGGAGAUGUGGGAUGAGAUCCAGACCCAGACUGUAGUUUAGAGCCCCCCAGCCAAACCCAGCCAGGAUCAGCCAACUCCAGCUAACCCACAGACACAUAAGAGAGAAUAAAUUACUACUGUUUUAAGUUUUGGGGUAGUUUGUAAUGCAACAAUACCUGAUCGACACAUUGGCAAACAUUUGAUUUCAGUUAACUUGGGGAUAAUGAUAUAAACAUUAUAGUGUGAUCUAAAUGCCAUCAUGCUAUUAUCAUUUUACCUAUUUAAGAACAAAUAGAGCGUCUCACCCCUGCUUUGGCUUCCCCAACAUUUUAUAUGGUGACAAUUCAGCUAAGCUGGGACCACAGGACUACCUUUUCCAGAAUUCCCUGCCCUGUAUGGUCCUGGGUUAGCAUUGACCACAAGAAAUUUUGUGCAAGAUUUGGAAACCAGACAUAAAGCAGCAGAUGUGUUUUAUGCUCUGAGGUUUGGAGCAGGGUCCGGGGAGCAGUGGGUGCUCACGUACAUUGCUGCUGAUCUGCUAGCUUGCCUUGUACUGGGGCAAAUACGCAACUUCAUAGGGAAGGGCACGAGCCUCCUCUGGAAGUCACCUACAGCACCAAGUUUGGAGGUGGUGAGAGACAGAUGUAGGUUCCAGUUUGUAUUUUCUCUUGUUCACACCAAGCUUUCUUUUCUGACUACCAGUUUGGCUGACCUAUAGUAGCCUCAACGUCAUAUGCAGAGGUAGCAGCCUUACCUUGAGGCCUCCACUCGCUCCUGCAACCACGUAAAGUCUAAUCUUUAUAGCAAAUCCUUCAUUCCCUAUCACUCAUGGUUCUUCUCCUCUGGAUUGAACUCUGACACACUAUGGCUGAGUUCAUUGUCAUUUUAACCUGUAAAUUCAGGCAAGCUCCCCAGAUCAUAGUCUUGGGUCAUUUAUGAUGGAGCAGGAAAUAUGUAAUAUUAAACUAUUGUUUAUUGAGUCCUUACUAUGUGCAAACACUGUGCUAACUGUUUUACAUGUAUUAUUUCACCUAAUCUUACAAAAUGGCCCGAAUUCCCCAUGCAGGCUGGCUCACUCUUGUCAUCAUCACCCAUUGGUAGUUCAGAGAUACCUGCUAGCUACAGUAAUUCCAAGUUCUGCCAUUUGGGAUUGUAGACUAGGACUCAAUGCCCUCUGGGGUGACCGUGAGUGGCCUGUGCUGCCCUCAUAGAAAGAGCCCGGAACACAUGUGGUGCCCAUUAAGGGUUUUCACCCUCUUUUCCCUACCCUCAGUCUUGGCAGUAAUCUUUGUCCGAAGGUACAAACUCUGGCCCUAUCUGAGAACUCAGUUCCCUUCUAAGAAUGAGUCUGACCCCAAAUCUCUGCCUAGUGACUCAGUCCUGUGACCAUGGUCAGGUCUCAGAUGGAAACUGCUUGCCUGUCUCAGUCCCAGGUGCUGACCCACUGAAGCAGUGCUUAUGGCUCCAUGACACCUAUGGGCAUGCCCCAGCCCUUAUUAGACAUUUACCUCUAUUUAGAGCCACUUCAUAUUGAACCCUUUCCCCCAUCAAAUACCCCUCAUUUGCCAGGACUGAGGUGGCUGUCUUCCUUGAUACCUCUCCUAUUUUAAUUAUUUUGUGAGCUAGGGGAUAGUAUUUUUAACUGUGAUUUCUUUUCCACAUGUUCUUCGUUUUAAACCCUUAAGAAGGAAUAAUUUGUAAAGUUUCCAGUCGAGAAUGUAAUCUUGAGCAAUUUGCUUUGUAGGAAGUAGGGAAUGGUAGGCAUCCUCAAGUGGAGUUAAAGAAGUUCUAAUUACUUACACCUGCAUAAGCUAUCACUCUCCUAAGUGACGUUUUCACGAGUCUGCUUCAUUGGCAUCCUUCAGGUCUCACAGAAAGUGCCAGACCUGAGAGCCUUCUGUCUACCCUUUAUAAAGGCACCUGCUGCAAUUACACUGUCACAUCCCCUGGUUUCUUUCCUCUGGGCCCCAAGCAUAGCCUGUGAUCUUAUUUUCUCUCUUCUAGUUGCAUGUAAGCUCCAGGAUGGCGGAAACCCUACUUGCCUUCCUCACCUGGUACCUAGUAUGUGGCAGGCACUCCACAAACACUUGCUGAAUGGAUGAAUCCAUUGAGCAACCCCAGGAAAGAGGUACUAUUAUGAUCUAUAUCUCACAGAUCAGGACAGAGAUACAACAAGAUUAAAUCAAUUGUCCAGGAUCACGGUGGAGGAACUAAGAUUCAAACUGUGUCCUCACCAGAGCUGGGCUCUCAAACCACUGCACAAAUUGGUCAUUAGCCUUAAAUAAAGUAUCAAGCUUCUUUCCCAGCAAUAAACUGAAUUACUCACCUAAGAAUGUCAACUAUCUUUGCCUUACUGCCACUUGAUUCAAAGCUAUUUUUUUUCCAUUAACAAUAAAAAUCCAGAACUGAAACCCAUGUGGCCAUACUGCAGAAACAGUGGCAAUUUCUUUCCUAUUUAAAGACUCUUUUGUCCAUACCAGAAACCUACUUAGAAUGUCCCAAGGCAGUUAAAGAUUUCUACCUCAUAUAAAAUCACAUCAAAUCCUUUUAAUACAAAAAGUUGGUAUUUACGGGAAGAAAAACUACAUGAAAGCAAAUGGAUUUGAAUGAUCUGAUUUUAUUUAGCAUGCCAAUACAACUUAUUCUAAUAAAUUAAUAUGUACAGUUAUAAAAAACGUUGAGUGCUUUCUAAGAAAAAUGCUUCUAAAUGUGCACACUAAAGUAUAUGCAGAAUCCUUUAAAUCGUUGACUUUAUAAUUUUCAAUCUCAGAAGUGUGGUAACAUCUAGUUACCGAAGAAGAAUGGAGUCUCUCUCUGUAAUUCAUGAUUUAGAUAGUUUUGAGUUUAAAAAGGUUUCAAUUACCAUUUCAGCUCCUGCGAGCUAUGAGGCCUGAAAUGACAGCACCGAGGUCUGGAAAUCACCUCACCCAGUCUCCUAAUUGCACAGAUGAGGAAUCCACCGGCCUUGCCAAAGAUUACAAAGCUGGUGAGACAGCCUGGAUUACAAACCAGUCUCAGAGGUGCUCUGAUAUGUUUGUUAAGCUGAAGAAGGCACAGAUUACAGGGAACUCUAGUCAUAUCUGAAAGACCCUGAUUUUACUUUCUGCUUAACAUAGGACUCAAUCCUGAUGUGUUCUUUCGUUGUUAACAAAUUUAGUGACUCAGUUGCUUUGGAAACAAAAUCACUCCCAUUAUUGCAGAGGAUCACUGACUGUCAGGUGCCAUUUAUGCUUCUAUUCUCCUGGGAUGUUUGGACUUGGGCAACUUGUCUUCCUGCUCUUCCAUGCUCAUAGCAGAACCACACUGUUCUGUUCUGAAUAGAAAUGCUCGUGUCUGUUCUGGUUUAAAA